rnacentral:snRNA from 15 species
AAACAAAGUGGAGACCAGGUUCAUCACGAAUGCCCUAGCCUCAGGUGGAGGCUUGCCUUCGCACUUCAGCGUCCUGAAGCCUGCGACGAUCCCUAAUCGGACUCGCUCGGACGUGUAUAGUUUUUGCUAGUGGGAAGGUCUUUGGAUCAUCCCUU